rnacentral:tRNA from 1 species
AAAGAAUUAGUUAAAUUAUAACAUUAGAUUGUCAUUCUAAAAUUAUUAACUAUAAAAUAUUCUUUC